rnacentral:rRNA from 1 species
CACGGAGGGUGCGAGCGUUGUCCGGAUUUACUGGGCGUAAAGGGCUCGUAGGCGGUUCAACAAGUCGAUCGUGAAAGCCCGGGGCUCAACCCCGGGACGCCGGUCGGAACUGUUGUGACUAGGGUCCGGUAGAGGUGAGUGGAAUUCUCGGUGUAGCGGUGGAAUGCGCAGAUAUCGAGAGGAACACCAGUUGCGAAGGCGGCUCACUGGGCCGGUACCGACGCUAAGGAGCGAAAGCGUGGGGAGCAAACGGGAUUAGAAACCCGAGUAGUCC